rnacentral:other from 1 species
AUUUACCUGGAGUGUCCGAGGCCCUGCCAAUUUGAACCUACAUUUUCUUUAAACAGGGAUUCCUAUAUCGGCGUGUGGAUGCCAGGCCCCCAUUGCGCAGGGGAAGGCAGAAGCGGCGCCUGCGGUUGCCCACCUAGCUUUGCUAGGAGUCAAACGGCAGGAACGGCAUGCCGGGGUUCAC